rnacentral:lncRNA from 1 species
UUUGGGAGAAGCCUACAAGAACGUUUACGGAGAGAUUUAAUUGUCUCGGAUUCUCCGGUUCCAAAAGGAUUUUCAACCAACGGCACAAUUCGAGAGAGAGAAAAAUUUGGGAGAAGCCUACAAGAACGUUUAUGGAGAGAUUUGAUUGUCCCAGAUUCUUCGGUUCCAAAAGGAUUUUCAACCAACGGAGAUUUGAUUGUCCCGGAUUCUUCGGUUCCAAAAGGAUUUUCAACCAACAGCACAAUUCAAGAGAGAGAGAGAGAGGGGUUGAUUUGGGAGAAGCCUACAAUUACAUGUAUGGAGAGAUUUGAUUAUCCCGGAUUCUUCGGUUCCAAAAUGAUUUCCAACCAACAACACAAUUUCCUAUUAGAUAGGGAUUUUCACGCUUUCUAAUUGUACAGUCCAGUUUGUUUUUGUAAAAAAAAAAGUAAUUUCAAAAUAUGUAUUCAAAAAUAUAAAGGUAAUUUUAUAUAAUAAAAAUAAAAAAAAUAAAGUUUAAACGACAACUUUAACAAAAAAAAUUAAAGUUUAAGUUUUAGUAAAGUCCUCGUAAAUGAAUGACGAUAAAUUUUUUAAAAAAUAUAAUAAAAUUAGAAUCAGGCUUCUAUGCAAUUUCAUUUUGGAUUGCAUCAACCCAAA